rnacentral:sRNA from 1 species
UCUCAGGAUGGCUGGGAUUAUGUUGCUCCUGAUAGUACAGACAUCACUCGCAACCAGCCAGUCAUGCUAGAGAUUCAAGAUAUUACUACUGGUUCUUUUAUAACGACCAAUUUCUACGACUUCAAUGAUCAGCAUUACACUGUCAACUUUUACGACACAUCACCUUGUAUUGAUCCCAAAGAGAAACAAA